CAUCAUUGAGUGACGGAUCGAGCAAUCCUUUACCUGUUAAAUGAAUAACUUGGUAUUUCUCGAGUAAUAAAUCGAGAUUUUGACGAAUAAUGUCAUUUAACUUUUUACUUCCUAAGCUGCCACCCAUCACUAAUAAGACAGGUUUCUUAUCAGUGAACUCAGUGAGUUGGUAACC
rnacentral:ncRNA from 1 species